rnacentral:ncRNA from 1 species
UAUAGUGUUCAAAUCCUUGGUUUGCUACCAGAUGUUGUGAUCAAACUCUGAUCAUCGGGGUAGCGGGGAAUCCGGUGAGAAUCCGGAACUGACGCGCAGCGGUAUUGGGGAACGAGCGUGGCAACCACGACACUGGCAACCGCCGGGAAGUCGCCACGCGAGGCCGAAUCGACCGAUUCAUGCCCCUGAGUCCGAAGACCUGCCAAGGGUGGGGAGCCGGC